GACGAACGCUGGCGGCGUGCCUAACACAUGCAAGUCGAACGGAAAGGCGCUGCUUUUGUGGGGUGCUCGAUUGGCGAACGGGGGAGUAACACGUGAGUAACCUGCCCUUGACUUUGGGAUAACAUCAGGAAACUGGGGCUAAUACCGGAUAGGAGCUCCUGCUGCGUGGUGGGGGUUGGAAAGUUUCGGCGGUGGGGGCUGGACUCGCGGCUUAUCAGCUGGUUGGUGGGGUAGGGGCAUACCAAGCCUAUGACGGGUAGCCUGCAUGAGAGCGUGACCGGCCACAUUGGGACUGAGGUACGGAGCAGACUCCUACGGGCGGCAGCAGUCGGGAGUCUUGCACAGUGGCGCGACGCGUGAGGCAGCAAUCCCGGGUGCGGGAUGCUGGCUUUCGGGUUGUAAACCGCUGUCGCCUGUGCUGAGGCGUGCGUGACGGUACCGGGUAAAGAAGCACCGGCUAACUACGUG
rnacentral:rRNA from 1 species